rnacentral:lncRNA from 1 species
CCCACUGCCUAGAUUAUGUUGCAAUGUUGCAGUUGUAAUGGGAAGAUACUAGCAGAAGUAGGAGAAAAGGCCUGUGGAAUAUGUCCAUAUUUGCAUUUGAGAAACAACACUGGCUGCUCUCUGAAGAGACUAUGCGGAGCAGAAACAAAGCAAGCUGGUGCAUGAUCACCUAUCUCAGCUUUCAAGAGAGUCUGAACAUUAUUUCCCAACCACAAAAGACCCACCUCCACAACUGGGAAGGAAUGGAUCUGCAACCCAUUUGUGAAUAAGCCAGGUGAAUUGACUUUGUCUGUGCUGGAAGAGGAUCAACUGCUUGAAAUCGCAAAUCGAGGUGGCCUUAAAAGUAUGUUUGAGACAACUUCAAGUCUUUACACAUUCUGGAUUAAAGUCAAGGCAAAAUAUACUGAGAUUGCCACGAAAGCACUGAAAAACCUGCUUCUAUUUCCAACAUCCUAUCUUUGUGAAGCAGGGUUUUCUGCAGUGACAGCAACCAAAAUAAGAUUACAGAGUAGACUGGACAUAAGCAACACACUUGGGGUGU